CAGAGACAGAUGAGCUGGGAGACUGGUGGAGGACCCCAAGUAAGAUCAGAGACAGAUGAGCUGGGGGACUGGUGGAGAACCCCCAGUAAGACCAGAGACAGAGGAGCUGGGAGACUGGUGGAGGACCCGCAGGAAGACCAGAGACAGAGGAGCUGGGAGACUGGUGGAGAACCCCCAGUAAGACCAGAGACAGAGGAGCUGGGAGACUGGUGGAGGACCCCCAGUAAGACCAGAGACAGAUGAGCUGGGAGACUGGUGGAGGACCCCCAGUAAGACCAGAGGAGCUAGGGGACUGGUGGAGGACCCCCAGUCAGUCCAGAGACAGAUGAGCUGGGAGACUGGUGGAGGACCCCCAGUAAGACCAGAGUAGCUGGGGGACUGGUGGAGGACCCCCAGUAAGACCAGAGGAGCUGGGGGACUGGUGGAGGACCCCCAGUAAGACCAGAGGAGCUGGGGGACUGGUGGAGGACCCCCAGUAAGACCAGAGGAGCUGGGGGACUGGUGGAGGACCCCCAGUUGGACGAGAUAAGCUGGGUGACUGGUGGAGGACCCCCAGUAAGACCAGAGGAGCUGGGGGACUGGUGGAGGACCCCCAGUAAGACCAGAGGAGCUGGGGGACUGGUGGAGGACCCCCAGUAAGACCAGAGGAGCUGGGGAACUGGUGGAGGACCCCCAGUCAGGCCAGAGCAGAUGAGCUGGGGGACUGGUGGAGGACCCCCAGUAAGACCAGAGGAGCUGGGGGACUGGUGGAGGACCCCCAGUUGGACGAGAUAAGCUGGGUGACUGGUGGAGGACCCCCAGUAAGACUAGAGGAGCUGGGGGACAGGUGGAGAACCCCCAGUAAGACCAGAGGCAGAUGGGGGACUGGUGGAGAACCCCCAGUAAGACCAGAGGAGCUGGGAGACUGGUGGAGGACCCCCAGUAAGACCAGAGCAGCUGAGGGACUGGUGGAGGACCCCCAGUUAGACCAGAGGAGCUGGGGGUCUGGUGGAGGACCCCCAGUUAGACCAGAGGAGCUGAGAGACUGGUGGAUGACCCCCAGUUAGACCAGAGGAGCUGGGGGUCUGGUGGAGGACCCCCAGUUAGACCAGAGGAAAUUGGGAACUGGUGGAAGACCCCCAGUUAGACCAGAGGAGCUGGGGGACUGGUGCAAGACCCCAGUUAGACCAGAGAAAGAUGAGCUAGGGGACUGGUGGAGGACCGCCAGUUAGACCAGAGGUGCUGGGGGACUGGUGGAGGACCCCCAGUAAGACCAGAGGAGCUGAGGGACUGGUGGAGGACCCCCAGUAAGACCAGAGGCCGAUGGGGGACUGGUGGAGGACCCCCAGUUAGACCAGAGGAGCUGGGGGACUGGUGGAGGACCCCCAGUAAGACCAGAGGAGCUGGGGGACUGGUGGAGGACCCCCAGUAAGACCAGAGGCAGAUGGGGGACUGGUGAAGGACCCCCACUUAGACCAGAGGAGCUGGGGGACUGGUGGAUGACCCCCAGUAAGACUAGAUGAGCUGGGGGACUGGUGGAGGACCCCCAGUUGGACGACAUGAGCUGGGUGACUGGUGGAGGACCCCAGUAAGACCAGAGUCAGAUGGGGGACUGGUGGAGGACCCCCAGUAAGACCAGAGGCAGAUGGGGGACUGGUGGAGGACCCCCAGUAAGACCAGAGGCAGAUGGGGGACUGGUGGAGGACCCCCAGUAAGACUAUAGGAGCUGGGGGACUGGUGGAGGACCCCCAGUAAGACCAGAGGCAGAUGGGGGACUGGUGGAGGACCCCCAGUAAGACCAGAGGAGCUGGGGGACUGGUGGAGGACCCCCAGUAAGACCAGAGGAGCUGGGGGUCUGGUGGAGGACCCCCAGUUGGACGAGAUGAGCUGGGGGACAGGUAGAGAACCCCCCAGUAAGACCAGAGGCAGAUGGGGGACUGGUGGAGGACCCCCAGUAAGACCAGAGGAGCUGGGGGUCUGGUGGAGGACCCCCAGUUAGACCAGAGGCAGAUGGGGGACUGGUGGAGGACCCCCAGUAAGACCAGAGGAGCUGGGGGACUGGUGGAGGACCCCCAGUAAGACCAGAGGAGCUGGGGGUCUGGUGGAGGACCCCCAGUUAGACCAGAGGAGCUGGGGGACUGGUGGAGGACCCCCAGUAAGACCAGAGGAGCUGGGGAACUGGUGGAAGACCCCCAGUUAGACCAGAGGAGCUGGGGGACUGGUGGAAGACCCCAGUUAGACCAGAGAAAGAUGAGCUAGUGGACUGGUGGAGGACCCCCAGUAAGACCAGAGGAGCUGGGGGACUGGUGGAGGACCCCCAGUAAGACCAGAUGAGCUCUGGGACUGGUGGAAGACCCCAGUUAUA